AGUAAUUAAUAGCGUCAUACGUUUAUUUUCACGAAGUAAAAUGAGCUAAAAGAAUUUGUAUAUUAGUACGUAAGAUUAUAUGUAGCAACAUAUAAUUAUUAUCUUCUUUUAGGGGUGAUAUGCCUAUCAAGUUUUACGAUAACUUGCUGUGUAGGAAAAAUAUUGAGUAUGUAGUCAAUUUAAAAAUGCUAAGGUUUUUAAACAACACAAUAGGACAUAAUUAAUUAGCAUAUUAUUUAAUUGUACAUGCUUCCCGUUAUAUAUAAUUUUAUUGCAGUAACAUGUGUGUAAUACUACAUUAUAAUUUUUACUUACUUAUAUUAUUAAUAAUGUUACUAUUAGUAUUAUAAUAGAUUUUGUUAAGGAACUCGGCAAAGAUGUUAUUCAACUGUUUACCAAAAACAUUGCCUUGCGCAAGUAUUCAAGGUUAACCCUGCUCAAUGGUAUCUAAAUAGCCGCAGUACUUUGACUGUGCAAAGGUAGCAUAAUCAUUUGGCUUAUAAUUGAAGUCUAGUAUGAAUGGGUAUCUGGAUAAUAACUAUCUUUACAUAAUAAAUUGAAUUUACUUAUUAAGUGAAAAUUCUUAUGUAAUAAUAAUAGACGAGAAGACCCUAGAAAUUUUUUACAUGUAUAUUAAGAUAUUCUAUUUUGUUGGGGCGACAGGGUAGCACAUAACCUACCUAUAAUAAUAAAAAAUUAUUUAAAGAUAUAAUUAAAUUACUCUAGGGAUAACAGCAUAAUACAAUAGAGUUUGUGACCUCGAUGUUGGACUAGGUAAAUUAACGUUUAGAAGAUGUUACUUUAGGCUCUGUUCGAGCUACCCCACCUACAUGAUCUGAGUUCAGACCGG
rnacentral:rRNA from 1 species